rnacentral:lncRNA from 1 species
CUUGCCUUUCCAUCCCAUUUUCUGCAGAAGCCUAAAACCUACAUUAGAUGACGUGAGUUGUGUAUCCAGAGAUGCUUGUUCCAAGUUUUCUGUAUCAAGGUUUUCUGUGGGACGGUGAUCAAUUGGCAAAUGAAAAUCUUUCCCUGAAUCCUCAAUAAGGGAAUUAGAAUAUGCCUGCAACAGCAAACAACAUACCCAAGACAUGCUCAGACAAGAAUUUAUAUAUNNNNNNNNNNNNNNNNNNNNAAGUUUUCUGUAUCAAGGUUUUCUGUGGGACGGUGAUCAAUUGGCAAAUGAAAAUCUUUCCCUGAAUCCUCAAUAAGGGAAUUAGAAUAUGCCUGCAACAGCAAACAACAUACCCAAGACAUGCUCAGACAAGAAUUUAUAUAUCUUCAUUCAGAAACAGGAUAGUGAAGCAUGGAGAUGUCAAGAACACAAAACAUGUGUACAAAAAAAAAAGUACAUGAUCAAUACAGCCUAUGAGUCCAGAUACACUGAUAAUUAUGUCUACAAACCAAACUAUAGCAAAAAGAAAAUAAUUUCUAAAAUAAACUAUAACCAAUUUGAAUCAAUGGAGAGCUACACAUUAUAACUAUCUCAGGAAGGACGCUCUUGUCAGGAUCAAGCAUGCAGACCAAACAAACAUCUCUUACUCAAGUUACAAAACUAUAGGAGAUCAAAGGAAGCUUAC